CGAUGUGCAUCAAAGGAAUAAAGAAUUCAAUGUUAGUAAUUAUGUUAUGGUUUGUAUUCAUCCUGAAAGAUUUCCCAAAAAUUCCUAAAGGAACUUCAUGCUCAAGCCAUUAACCCUUUCUCCCUUUUGCAAAAACUUGGAUUUAAUACAUAUUUACUUGAUUUAACUAAGCAAAUAAAUAUUAAUCCCAUUUUCAAUGUGGAGAAUUUGUCACCUUAUCGAGGCACUU
rnacentral:misc_RNA from 1 species